GACGAACGCUGGCGGCGUGCCUAAUACAUGCAAGUUGAGCGCUGAAGGUUGGUACUUGUACCAACUGGAUGAGCAGCGAACGGGUGAGUAACGCGUGGGGAAUCUGCCUUUGAGCGGGGGACAACAUUUGGAAACGAAUGCUAAUACCGCAUAAAAACUUUAAACACAAGUUUUAAGUUUGAAAGAUGCAAUUGCAUCACUCAAAGAUGAUCCCGCGUUGUAUUAGCUAGUUGGUGAGGUAAAGGCUCACCAAGGCGAUGAUACAUAGCCGACCUGAGAGGGUGAUCGGCCACAUUGGGACUGGGACACGGCCCAAACUCCUACGGGAGGCAGCAGUAGGGAAUCUUCGGCAAUGGACGCAAGUCUGACCGAGCAACGCCGCGUGAGUGCAGAAGGUUUUCGGAUCGUAAAACUCUGUUGGUAGAGAAGAACGUUGGUGAGAGUGGAAAGCUCAUCAAGUGACGGUAACUACCCAGAAAGGGACGGCUAACUACGUG
rnacentral:rRNA from 1 species